AACGAACGCUGGCGGCAGGCUUAACACAUGCAAGUCGAACGCCCCGCAAGGGGAGUGGCAGACGGGUGAGUAACGCGUGGGAAUCUACCCAUCUCUACGGAACAACUCCGGGAAACUGGAGCUAAUACCGUAUACGCCCUACGGGGGAAAGAUUUAUCGGGGAUGGAUGAGCCCGCGUUGGAUUAGCUAGUUGGUGGGGUAAAGGCCUACCAAGGCGACGAUCCAUAGCUGGUCUGAGAGGAUGAUCAGCCACAUUGGGACUGAGACACGGCCCAAACUCCUACGGGAGGCAGCAGUGGGGAAUAUUGGACAAUGGGCGCAAGCCUGAUCCAGCCAUGCCGCGUGAGUGAUGAAGGUCUUAGGAUUGUAAAGCUCUUUCACCGAUGAAGAUAAUGACGGUAGUCGGAGAAGAAGCCCCGGCUAACUUCGUGCCAGCCGCCGCCGUAACAC
rnacentral:rRNA from 1 species